GUUUAAUGGCUCUAUUGAGGGUAUUGGGACAGAAGGUGUUUGUGCUGUUUGUCAACAAAAUAGCCAUGGGUAACUAUUAAAGUGUAUGUUUGCCGACUUUUUGAACUCAAUUAUACUGUCAUAAAUGUAACAAGUUCGUGCUUGCGUCAUUUUAUUUAUACAGUUGUGGUUUUGUACGAAUGUGUUCCACGAUUCGUGCUCUUUGGGUAUAAUUCACAGUCCAAGAUUCCUGCCACAAAGUCAUUUUAUCAAUAAAAAAAUCAAUGGUUUUCUAAAUCACAGAAAUCAUUUGUGUCAUGCCACGAUUUGCCAUCUUGGACACAGCGUAUUACUUGUAACCCGAUUAUUUCAUGCCCUUCUUGAAAUCAAUCUCUAUUCUCGGUAGACGAUUUUGUCAUCAUAGAGC
rnacentral:lncRNA from 1 species